UUUCAUUAAAUUGCUUUAAGGUUGUACUGAAAAAAAGGAUAUAAGACACUCUACAUUGCACAUUCUGAUACCCUCUGUAUGCUCUGUGUUAUAAGGAUUAAAUAUUAACAAAUGUCUGUUACAUUUGUAAUACUAAAUAUCAGUGGUAUUUAUUUCAUUAUUUUCAUGGGAAUAAAUUAAGGAUAAAAUGCCGUGUUUAUGGUGAAGUUAAAAUUUACAUAAAUAACUAUUUGAUAUAAAUAAGGUAUUAAAAUGUAUAAAUAAUUUAUGUUUAAAAUGAACGCUUUUAAAAAGUUAAAAGUAUUUCUGUUACGUUAUAUUACAUCCUGAAGUUCAUGACCUGUUGGUUUUCACACUUCCGGGGAAAGAGUCUCGAGAGAGGAAGAAGAAGAAGGAGUAACAGGUGAAUGGCGUAGAGCAAAAACUCCGGGACUGUGAGUUUUGUCAGUGACGGACUGAGAACUGUGGUCGAGUGGCGUGUUCAGAGUGUGUGGGUCGCACUCUCCACCACCGUUUGUGUUUUUGGUGAAAGCAAGGCAAGUUCGGUUGCGUUGGUUAGCAGGAGCUAGGCUAACGCCACGGUCUUCGCUGAAGGGAGAAACCGCCUGCACGGACGGGAGGAGCUUCGGAGAGUCGUUGACGGAGGACGCUUCGCUGCUGCCGAGGGAAACGGUCGCUGCGAGGUGCUGCGGGCGGAGACGAACGAGCGAUUCAUCAGCUGCGGCCUGGUCUCGCUGACUUCACCGACAUACCAAGAUCUCUCGCCCCGCUGUCACGCACGCCCUCCACUUCCCCAUCACCACCAGGUCUUUGCCGUCUCUUCUGAUCAAUCAUUCCUCAUCCUUCAUCAGUCUCAUCAGAUUCCGCCUGGACGUAAAAUCUACUGUGAGAGGUGUCGCUUGUAAUAUAUGUAAUAUUGCUGGUGCAAUGACAGCAUCGAGAUCAACAGAUCUUUUCGCCGUCUAUUUUUGCUGAUAACCACGCCUGAAAAAUAGAUGAGACGCCAAAACUCAAAACUAGACGCGCCUCAGGCGUGCAGUGUGAAAACUCUUAUCUGAAUUAGAGACAUGCCACUUUCACCAGUGUGAAACUAGCGUCAGAAGCAGAUGUCCUCAGCUCAGCUAUCCCCAAACUUGUGUCCAAGCACCAAAGACUUUUUACGACUACCGACACAUUAUUUCAUAUAUGAAAAUAAUGUGCAGAGACAAUUUCAAGACACGCUGAGGGGCGACAUCAAACCUCACCAGCCCAACGCCAAAAUACACAGCAGUUACUUGACUGAUGAAGUACCUUUUGUUAAAAUUUGAAUUGACAACUCACUCAUUUUUGCAGCUACAAAUUAAACCCUCGGCAUAACUAAUUUGUUCGGUGCGACAAAAUCUCACACAUGACUGUCUCAUUGAAUGAUGAUGAAAUUCAGAAAAUUUGGCUGUAAGCUGAUGGCGUGGAGCCUCACUGGAGCUCAACUGUCCCUCCUUCAACAAUCAGAGAAUUUAAUGGUUUGUCAAAAUGAUCAGCUUCGUUCUCUGGAGGCCCCUCUCCAAAGAAAUGGCCCUCAUGCGGGUGAGCUGAUGCAGUCGGGUGGUGGAGUAGAGAGGAGCAGAGCCAACGGACAACUUUCAUAUCCCCAGUGAUUCCUGUUUGGUUGCAGACAUGAAGAUGCAGCAGUGCCAAGAUGCUGGUAAGGAUGCAGUGUGUGGGUGAAUUACAUCAGGUCCUGUUCUGUAUGGUGAGCAUGAGCUGGGAAUACGAGCAGAUUCAUGAGCUCUUUUCCCCACAACAGAGGGCACAAUGAAGCACAUUGUCCGCACUAUUCAGAAAUCCAAGUAUAUCAGUGGAUGAAGACGACCCAGACCAAAUCCACGGCUCGCGACUGCGACACCGUCUCUGGUUGAAGUCUCAAGGGGCGAGGGAUCAGCUGUGUGUGUGUGUGUGUGUCAGCAGCCAAAUUCAUUUCUUCCAGCUUGUAAUUCUCAUGUUCUAGACACAGAGAAUAAACAGAGAGCCUGCUUUGCGAGUCUCAUGUUAGAAUGAAAAUGAGGGUUGCUGAUUAAGUGCACGCACAUGAACAGAAUGUGCCUUCACUUCCAGGAAAAAAAGGAGAAGAGAUUUCUGAUUAAAUUAAUCAGAUUGAUGUCGCUGCCAAGACUACUGUUGUUCAUAACCUUGUCUCUGUCGCAGUGAAAUGUUGUCAAGUUGAUCUUGUUUAGCUGGAGUGCUGGAGUCUGUUUUCUUCACUUUUUUUCAACACUGAAUUUUGUUCACAUAAGGCUUGAUGGUCUCAGCCCUUGUUGUUGAAGCCACCACUGCUAAAACAUGAAUCACAGCUAUAAAACAUAUCGUAUAAGAGUAGGAGUCACAGAGUGCACAGUCAAGUUUAGUCACAGUCAGUUUGGCCAUUGUCAUUUUAGGUUUUCUGACACCAGGCGGUGGAGCUUGGGAGGAAGUGAAAGUAGCUACUGAAAAUACACUCUUUGGUAAAUCAUCUUUACAUCAUAAACUGUACAUUUAUAUCAUGUAUAAAAGUGGUCUAGUUUGCUGAAAGUAAUACAACCUGGAAGUAGCAAUAUAUUGAACAGCUACCAGGGAGAGACUUGAAUGGGAUUUGAAUGGAAGUCUAAUGGAAAAUGUCUGUACUUCUCACUUGAUUUACAACGUCAGUAAACAUUUCACUGGAGAAGUUCAUGGUGUCAAUCACUAGUUUAACUAGUGGUGAUUUACCAGUGUAAAUGACUGUUGGUUUCAUCCUAGUCACAAGGCUUCAAAAGAUUCUUCUGGGUGACAUCACAACUGGGUUCCACUUGACUCGCACAUAAACACACCAUCCAUGAGAAUCCAAGUUUCAGAGUAAAUAUAUGAUGUUUUACUUACAGGAUGGAAGCGUUUACACCGUCUGUCAACAUGGAUUCAAACAGAGCGGAAAGAAGCUCCUACAUCUAAGCAGAGGGUGAAUCGCCUAUCCACUGUUUACAGAGACGAGAGAGGGACCUUUUCACAGUUUAACUGUGGAUUUCCUCACGGGAACUCUGCUCCGUACGAACGUGCAUUCCAGCCCAAGUUUCUGCAAUGUUAACAUUUACUUAGCUGCAGGUGGGGUGUUAGCAAAACACUGUGAGAUGGGAACAACAUCCCAAUAUGCUCCCCCAUCCUCACCCACAGGUUCUUCUUUUGCAGCUUUGCCUGGAGUGGAGGAACUCUCGCUGCUUCUGCUCCAGAGAAGAUGUGAGUUAAUGGGACAAUUUGCAGUCACAUCACAACACGACAGGUGGCUUUGUGGGAUUUUUUUUUCUUCUCUCAAGCGCUCACAUGCUCACGAACAAGCAGCUUGGGGGGCUUUUGCGCACCAGUAGCGAUGUGUUGAGUGCUCAGAUAGGAGCUGAGAAAUAUGUGAGAUCCUCCACUGGAUCAAAGCAGCCAUCACUCUGGCUCUGUCAGGAAAGACAAAAUGCAGACUCUUACAUCUGGCCCGCUGGCUGCUGCUGUAAAACCUCAAACCUGCUUCUGACAUCUUUGUUAUCUCUGUCGUCACAUUAGUUCUUUCAUCCUCUCUCUUUUUUCUUACAUUAUAACAAUAUAAUAUAAUAUCGAAUGAGAGUUUGGAGAGUAUCGGGGCUUGCAAGAGCCACAGGAAGAGUGAAGGUGAUUCUCAUCUUUGUGAGAGUUUACAUAUUCAGGGUUGUGGAUAUAUACUGAAAAUGCCUUUUCUUUGCCAAACAAAAUAAAGCCUGGGGAUGCUGAGAAUACUGUAUAGAAAACUGUCUGACAGUGUUAAAGCCUUUAUAUGUAUGCACACGUGAUCUGUAUAUUGAAUUAAAAGAAGACAGGGA